rnacentral:lncRNA from 1 species
AUGUCUGCUGGGCAGGACACUGGAGCAAGAGAGAUCAGAGAUGUCUCUGCAUCCUGGUAUCAGACUCAAACCAGAACUCCCAAACCAGUUCUUGACUCAGGGAUAGCCUCAAAAAAGGACAUUUCCAUUGGGGCUUUGAAAGAUAAGAUACAACACAGAAUCAAAGAUGGUUUCUGUGUCACUUACGACAGCAGUACCAACCAGGAGAUUUCCCUGCGUCCUGGUGGAGACCUCACCUCAUAA